rnacentral:rRNA from 1 species
UGCCAGACUCCUACGGGAGGCAGCAGUGAGGAAUAUUGGGCAAUGGCCGAGAGGCUGAACCAGCCAAGUCGCGUGAGGGAUGACGGCCCUAAGGGUUGUAAACCUCUUUUGUCGGGGAGCAAAGAGAGUCACGUGUGACUCAUUGAGAGUACCCGAAGAAAAAGCAUCGGCUAACUCCGUGCCAGCAGCCGCGGUAAUACGGAGGAUGCGAGCGUUAUCCGGAUUUAUUGGGUUUAAAGGGUGCGUAGGCGGAAUGCCAAGUCAGCGGUAAAAUGUCGGGGCUCAACCCCGGCCGGCCGUUGAAACUGGCGUGCUCGAGUUGGAGAGAAGUAUGCGGAAUUCGUGGUGUAGCGGUGAAAUGCAUAGAUAUCACGAAGAACCCCGAUUGCGAAGGCAGCAUACCGGCUCCACACUGACGCUGAGGCACGAAAGCGUGGGUAUCGAACAGGAUUAGAUACCCUAGUAC